CUGAGAAGACUGCUAUCAUGUCACCCCUAAUCUAUGAUCACCCGGGCUUGGCAUGGAAACAACACCACCAGAACGAAGAUUUAACUCCCCUUUUUUUGUUCCAACUCCCCCCCCCGCCCCCCCCCAAAAAAUCCCUCCGUUCACUGCAAAUCCAGGAACAAAGCUCUAAGCAUGAACCUCCAAUAGUUCCUGGCUGCUAUUAAUCGAGAGGAGCAGCUCAGUUCUGAGAGCAGCCACAGUUCAGGGAAGUUGGUUCCAAGGAGUCCUCGUCACAGGCAAGAAGUCACUGGUACUACAGCAUCACCCGGAGUAUAACUGUGUCACUGCGACCUCACACAUAGCCAGGCCAGCCUGGCAAACAAGGCAGACAAGCCCAGCGAAGUAUCCAGAGGUCAGUAACAGCAGGUGAAGCUGGGAAAAGCAACGCUUGUUCAUGACAAACAUACCUCCCAGCUGCGUCUCUUUAAACUUCAUUUCCCCAGCAUUUUAAUGUGAGGCCAGAGCAAGUUCUUCAAUGGACAUUGUCUCCAGACCUGUUUGAGGCAGAGACUGAAGAUGAGAGCACCACAAUAGAAAACAAGGCAAGAGAGGAAACUGAAUUUCCCUCUUUUGUAGAAGAUUCCAGAUUAAGGUGGCGGAUGUCGUGCCCACCUAAUGGUUGCGUUCCCUUUAAUCUUCGCAGAGAUCUUCUCUCAUCCAGGAUGUCGUCGGGAGUAGUAGUUAAAUCGGAAUUUCAGCCUUGGGAAGAUGGGUCAAAAGGUCUCGCAAGGCAGCUUCCACGCGCCUUCAUUUUGAAAAGACUGGCGAAGAAAAAAAACAGUCCCGUUUUGUUCAGGAAAAGGCCCAGAUAGAGACCCAUCAUGGAUCGUUGCAGUGAGCCUGCUGGGGAAAAGACGGUGGAUCAUUUUAAUUUAUUUGUAAUAAAAGCUGGAAGUCUUUCGUUUAA